AUUGAACGCUGGCGGCAUGCCUUACACAUGCAAGGGAAACGCUUUAGUGCUAGAGGAUGGGUCUGUAUGGUAUCAGCUUGUUGGUGAGGUAAUGGCUCACCAAGGCUAUGACGCCUAACUGGUUUGAGAGGAUGAUCAGUCACACUGGAACUGAGACACGGUCCAGACUCCUACGGGAGGCAGCAGGUGGGGAAUAUUGCACAAUGGACGAAAGUCUGAUGCAGCAACGCCGCGUGGAGGAUGACACAUUUCGGUGCGUAAACUCCUUUUAUAUAGGAAGAUAAUGACGGUACUAUAUGAAUAAGCACCGGCUAACUCCGUG
rnacentral:rRNA from 1 species